rnacentral:rRNA from 1 species
AGGUGCAAUCAUACCAGCGUUAAUGCACAGGAUCCCAUCAGAACUCCGCAGUUAAAUGCGCUUGGGCUAGAGUAGUACUGGGAUGGGUGACCUCCCGAGAAGUCCUAGUGUUGCACCCU